rnacentral:lncRNA from 1 species
GGGGGACACGCACUUUCGUGCCGCAUUGAGCCGGGCCGCCCCCCCCGCCCCCAGUCAGCGCCCCGCACGCCAGGCACCGCUCCCUCAUCCGUGCCAUGAGCGAGGAGGGGGGGGUCCCCCAAAGUACGGACUUGCAGCCGAAGCGAUGCCCCCCUCCCAGCGGUGGUGCUGGGCCAGGUGUGACGGCAGAGCCAGGGUGUGAACACGGAAAUCAGGGCUGCGGGAGCUGAGGCCGAAGAGGCAGGAGCAAAGCUGCUGCUUUUAUGCUUACACUGAUUACUUUUCCCUAAGAAAUAAACAAAGCACAAAACGGAGCCCUUUGGGCAGCACACCUCCAGCUCGCCACGUCUGCAGCAGCACAACCUCUGCUCUGUUUCUG